AGCAGUAGCCGCGGGAACACGAAGGGUGCAAGCGUUACUCGGAAUUACUGGGCGUAAAGCGCACGUAGGCGGCUUGGUAAGUUAGAGGUGAAAGCCUGGAGCUCAACUCCAGAAUUGCCUUUAAGACUGCCGAGCUAGCAGGUGAGAGAGGUAAGUGGAAUUCCGAGUGUAGAGGUGAAAUUCGUAGAUAUUCGGAAGAACACCAGUGGCGAAGGCGGCUUACUGGCUCAUUCUAGACGCUGAGGUGCGAAAGCGUGGGGAGCAAACAGGAUUAGAUACCGCGUAGUCCCUGUCUCUUAUACA
rnacentral:rRNA from 1 species